rnacentral:rRNA from 1 species
UACGUAGGGUGCGAGCGUUGUCCGGAAUUAUUGGGCGUAAAGAGCUCGUAGGCGGCUUGUCGCGUCGGAUGUGAAAGCCCGGGGCUUAACUCCGGGUCUGCAUUCGAUACGGGCAGGCUAGAGUUCGGUAGGGGAGAUCGGAAUUCCUGGUGUAGCGGUGAAAUGCGCAGAUAUCAGGAGGAACACCCGUAGCGAAGGCGGCACUCUGGGCCGAUACUGACACUGAGGAGCGAAAGCGUGGGGAGCGAACAGG